rnacentral:rRNA from 1 species
UGGCGAACGGGUGGGUAACACGUGGGUGAUCUGCCCUGCACUCUGGGAUAAGCCUGGGAAACUGGGUCUAAUACCGGAUAGGACCAUGCUUUAGUGUGUGUGGUGGAAAGUUUUUUCGGUGUAGGAUGAGCCCGCGGCCUAUCAGCUUGUUGGUGGGGUAAUGGCCUACCAAGGCGGCGACGGAUAGCCGGACUGAGAGGUUGGUCGGCCACAUUGGGACUGAGAUACGGCCCAG